rnacentral:sRNA from 1 species
AGCCGCCACUUCCGAGAGCGCCUGCCGCCCGUGCGCCGCCGAGCCAGCUGCCAGUGGUCUGCAAGAAGAAUCUGGACAGUACCACUGUGGCUGUGCAUGGUGAGGAGAUCUACUGCAAGUCCUGCUACGGCAAGAAGUAUGGGCCCAAAGGCUAUGGCUACGGGCAGGGCGCAGGCACCCUCAGCACUGACAAGGGGGAGUCGCUGGGUAUCAAGCACGAGGAAGCCCCUGGCCACAGGCCCACCACCAACCCCAAUGCAUCCAAAUUUGCCCAGAAGAUUGGUGGCUCCGAGCGCUGCCCCCGAUGCAGCCAGGCAGUCUAUGCUGCGGAGAAGGUGAUUGGUGCUGGGAAGUCCUGGCAUAAGGCCUGCUUUCGAUGUGCCAAGUGUGGCAAAGGCCUUGAGUCAACCACCCUGGCAGACAAGGAUGGCGAGAUUUACUGCAAAGGAUGCUAUGCUAAAAACUUCGGGCCCAAGGGCUUUGGUUUUGGGCAAGGAGCUGGGGCCUUGGUCCACUCUGAGUGAGGCCACCAUCACCCACCACACCCUGCCCACUCCUGCGCUUUUCA